AACGAACGCUGGCGGCAGGCUUAACACAUGCAAGUCGAACGCCCCGCAAGGGGAGUGGCAGACGGGUGAGUAACGCGUGGGAAUCUACCCAGAUCUACGGAACAACAGAGGGAAACUUCUGCUAAUACCGGAAACGCCCUACGGGGGAAAGAUUUAUCGGAUUUGGUUGAGCCCGCGUAAGAUUAGCGAGUUGGUGAGGUAAUGGCUCACCAAGGCGACGAUCUUUAGCUGGUGGGAGAGGAUGAUCAGCCACACUGGGACUGCGACACGGCCCAGACUCCUACGGGAGGCAGCAGUGGGGAAUAUUGGACAAUGGGCGAAAGCCUGAUCCAGCCAUGCCGCGUGAGUGAUGAAGGCCUUAGGGUUGUAAAGCUCUUUCAGUAGGGAAGAUAAUGACGGUACCUACAGAAGAAGCCCCGGCUAACUUCGUGCCAGCCGCCGCGGUAAGAC
rnacentral:rRNA from 1 species